GGGCCGCUGCAGCUUAUUGACGUACAGAGACCAGAUGGAAGACAAGACAGAAGCUCAAGACAUAAUGAAGCCUCAAAUGAUUGUUCAGACAAAAACCGAAAAACUGGAAGGAGAUCUGAAGAGAGUGAGGGACCAGAGUUAUGUAAAAAUUAGUUCAGAGGAAUCUGGGCAGCUGGAGAAACUGAGGCGAGAAACUGAGAGACUCAGCUGCAAGGCUCAGAAAGAAGCUGUAGAGAAAGAGCUCCUACGAGAGAAU